rnacentral:rRNA from 1 species
UGGCGCACGGGUGAGUAACGCGUGGGUAACCUGCCCUUGAGUUCGGGAUACCCCCUCAAAGGGGGGCUAAUACCGGAUACGUUCCUCGGAUCGACAGGUCUGGGGAGGAAAGGUGGCGCAAGCCGCCGCUCUUGGAGGGGCUCGCGGCCUAUCAGCUAGUUGGCGGGGUAACGGCCCACCAAGGCUAUGACGGGUAGCUGGUCUGAGAGGACGACCAGCCACACGGGGACUGAGACACGGCCCCG